GCUGCACUUACAUGACAUCUGACCUCAGAUCANGUANGACUACCCGCUGAACUUAAGCAUAUCAUAG
rnacentral:rRNA from 1 species